rnacentral:rRNA from 1 species
GGUGCUUGCACCCCGCUGACGAGCGGCGGACGGGUGAGUAAUGCAUAGGAAUCUGCCCGAUAGUGGGGGAUAACCUGGGGAAACCCAGGCUAAUACCGCAUACGUCCUACGGGAGAAAGGGGGCUCCGGCUCCCGCUAUCGGAUGAGCCUAUGUCGGAUUAGCUGGUUGGUGAGGUAAAGGCUCACCAAGGCGACGAUCCGUAGCUGGUCUGAGAGGAUGAUCAGCCACAUCGGGACUGAGACACGGCCCGAACUCCUACGGGAGGCAGCAGUGGGGAAUAUUGGACAAUGGGGGCAACCCUGAUCCAGCCAUGCCGCGUGUGUGAAGAAGGCCCUCGGGUUGUAAAGCACUUUCAGUGAGGAAGAACGCCUGGUGGUUAAUACCCAUCAGGAAAGACAUCACUCACAGAAGAAGCACCGGCUAACUCCGUGCCAGCAGCCGCGGUAAUACGGAGGGUGCGAGCGUUAAUCGGAAUUACUGGGCGUAAAGCGCGCGUAGGUGGCUUGAUAAGCCGGUUGUGAAAGCCCCGGGCUCAACCUGGGAACGGCAUCCGGAACUGUCAAGCUAGAGUGCAGGAGAGGAAGGUAGAAUUCCCGGUGUAGCGGUGAAAUGCGUAGAGAUCGGGAGGAAUACCAGUGGCGAAGGCGGCCUUCUGGACUGACACUGACACUGAGGUGCGAAAGCGUGGGUAGCAAACAGGAUUAGAUACCCUGGUAGUCCACGCCGUAAACGAUGUCGACCAGCCGUUGGGUGCCUAGCGCACUUUGUGGCGAAGUUAACGCGAUAAGUCGACCGCCUGGGGAGUACGGCCGCAAGGUUAAAACUCAAAUGAAUUGACGGGGGCCCGCACAAGCGGUGGAGCAUGUGGUUUAAUUCGAUGCAACGCGAAGAACCUUACCUACUCUUGACAUCCUGC